rnacentral:rRNA from 1 species
UCUGGGAUAACAUUUCGAAAGGGGUGCUAAUACCGGAUAAGCCCACGACGGCCUUGGUCGUUGCGGGAAAAGGGGGGGACCUUCGGGCCUUCUGUCAUCAGAUGAGUCUGCGUACCAUUAGCUAGUUGGUAGGGUAAUGGCCUACCAAGGCUACGAUGGUUAGCUGGUCUGAGAGGAUGAUCAGCCACACUGGAACUGASACACGGUCCAGACUCCUACGGGAGGCAGCAGUGGGGAAUUUUGCGCARUGGGMGAAAGCCUGACGCAGCAACGCCSCGUGAGUGAUGAAGGCUUUCGGGUCGUAAAGCUCUGUCGAGGGGAAAGAAGUGUAUUGGGGCUAACAUCCUUGAUACUUGACGGYACCCCUAAAGGAAGCACCGGCUAACUCCGUGCCAGCASCCGCGGWAAUACGGGGGGUGCAAGCGUUGUUCGGAAUUAUUGGGCGUAAAGCGCGUGUAGGCGGUUUGUUAAGUCUGUUGUGAAAGCCCUKGGCUYAACCCAGGAAGUGCACUGGAUACUGGCAGACUUGAAUACGGGAGAGGGUAKWGGAAUUYCUGGUGUAKGAGUGAAAUCYSUAGAUAUYAGGAGGAACACCGGUGGCGAAGGCGGCUACCUGUACCGAUAUUGACSCUGASACGCGAAAGCGUGUGUAKCAAACAGGAUUASAUUCCCUGGUAGUCCACGCCGUAAACGAUGASUACUAGGUGUUGCGGG